AUUACAUAGAAUUAUAUAUAAAAUAAUUUAGGUUGAAAAAGACCUCUGAGACCACUGAACCCAGAUCAGCAUUGUCAAAUCCACCACCAAACCUGUCCCCAAGUGCCACAACCAUGUCUUCCAAAUACCUCCAGGGGUGGUGACUCAACAGCUUCUCUGGGUAGCCUAUGACAAUAUUUGGUAAUACCAGUUACUAUGAUGAAAUUUAACUCCACCCCAGCCAAAACCAGCACAUAAGUAAAGGCUGUACCUGUAUGAAAAUUGCAUUAAAAAAUUCAUUUUCUUAUCAUCUUCUUUUCAGCUCUGUUACUCUACUGCCUGUGUGAAUCUGCCAAGAAUGUUGAUUUACACCUAUGGUGGUAUCGAAGGACCAUCUUGGAGGUUACCCUGUUGGGACUGCCAAGGUCCUUGCAGUUUUUCACUCCACUUUGUGCACUUUCCUAUCUUGCCUGGAACUGAUGACAGCAUUCCAGAAUAUAUACCAGUGUUUGCUGACUGCCACUUCUGGUGGCCAUCCGUUAUGCCUCUGCAUUUCACAACUGGAGAGAGGAAAGGAAGACGCUUCAAGUACACAUAAAUUGUGAUGCAGCUUUCAAUUUCGUGGAUGUCACCAACAAAGAGACACAAGUCCAGGUGUUGUGACUGGGUUUCGUUCAUGCUGUCUGAGCCAACCAGAGGUCCUGAGGAAGUGUUUAGUGUGAACCAGAUGAAGCCUACUGAUGCUGACUUUCUGAACAGAGGGCUGGCAGAGGUUGAAUUCCUCCUCUCCCUCUUAUCUUUGGCUGAGUCUCCAUUCACCAUUGGUAGUAGGAUUAUUUGCAGAAGGUCAGCAGGAAAAGGUACUCAAGAAUCUGCUUAG
rnacentral:lncRNA from 13 species